GUCUGGUCUUGAUUACGGGUGCGUGAGGGAUAGCAGCGAAAAGCCCACAGCCUGACGAAGGAAGUGCGAGGACUUGCAGCGAAUAGCCCGACCCGGA
rnacentral:misc_RNA from 1 species